rnacentral:pre_miRNA from 1 species
AUUGGAAUCUCCUGGGAUCUUGUUAAAAUGCAGGUUCUGAUUUAGAAUCUGGGGUGGGGUCUGAGAUUCUGCAUUUCUAACAAACUCCCAAGUAACUCCAAU